AAAGGUGUGACUGGGAAAGGGAGUAAGAAAAUGCAAAAGAAAAGAGAUUUAAAUAAUAAUAAUGAACCCUCUUUAACGAUGAAUUACUUUAAUAUUGGAUAAUCAUAAGCAGUCACUUUUAAAACUCAUGAGUAGACAACUUACAAUACUCAACGACAAGUUGUCUAACUUUCAAGUGAUAUAAUUCUCAAAGCUAUUGAUUUAAAAUAUGUACAACACAUCAACAAAGUAGAAUAGACUGAGUGUUGCAGCGGAAUAAUUCAUGUGGAUUACAUGUAUGAAGACAUGGAAUCCUGAGCCUAAUUUAAUAUCUCUGAAGGCUUUGCUCUGCUUGCUUCCAUCUACAUCACAGCUUAACCUGCAUAUUUAGAAACAUACGCAGGGCUGAGUACCAAAAAGCACUCAGUGGUUACAUGCCGAAAUAACUUUAAACUUGCUCUUAGAGCUAUAUAUUGAACUUGCCAUCUCAAGCAUCACACAGGAGUUUUACUUAAAUAACCUGUGCACGCAAAAACUGUAAAAUAUCUCCAUAAUCAUCAUAACAUCAUAUACGUCUGCAGACAAUUAACAUGUAUGUACCAUAUCUACGCAUCAUAUAACUCUGAGUGUUGAGAAGUAGGCCUCCUUCUCAAACACGAUGACAAGCUAACACAAAGGUUAACUGUCAACUCUGUGUACACAAAUCCUGACUCGCUCAGGACCCGAAUUCGUUGUUCUAUGUAGAUGGUAUCAUACAAAUCUCAAAUAUUGGCAAGUCAAUAAUUGGAAAAUAAAUGCAUACACUCAAACUUUAUAUAAUAAAGUAUGCAUCCUUACUUCUUGAGUUAGUAAGCCCACCUGAUACUCUUAAUGAAAUAGAAGUCCUUGCUUGUUCAUUCUACACUGCCACUCGAACCUUCAUUAUAAUGAGGUUCCCACGUAAGAUUGGAUAAUUAAUAAGUAAAUAGAAAGUAAAUCUUGAAUGAAACUUCUAUCACUUGAAAGUUGCAUCCUCUAAUUUGAGUAUUCUACUUAUAUAGACUUAACUACAAGCAAAUAGUAACAUCACAUCUCUUGGAAUAUCUCAAAUUGAGAAAAGCUUAAGAGUAAACUAAUCCAUUCUAUAUAGAUUAGCUUACAAUUAAUAACUAAACAUCAAUCACUUAGCAUAGUU
rnacentral:lncRNA from 1 species